UCCAAACAACAUCAAGAAUGGUUCUAUUUCACAAUUAUGCCUGCUCAAUGCACUCGGAUUUUUUUUGCGUGACUGAAAUCUUUUUCCUUGGAUCUGUGUGCUACAGACAGAUUUUUUUAACCGGAGCAAAUUCAAGUGCAGCUUUCAGACCAGUCAAACCCAAGAGACAGGCAGGAGGGCAGCCCUUCCUCGGCUUCUCUCUGCAUUAGCCUUUCUUACUCAGUCUCCAUCGACCUGUCAGAGACAUCACAGUGAUUGACUGCCCUGGCAGAUGUGCUGCUAUAACAGUAAAGUCUACUGCAUACUCACUAUCAAGGGAUGUACAUUGGCACAGAUGACAUAGUUCACAAUAUAAGGGGAAGUAACAUACUGAAGCAAGCAAAACAAGAUGCACACCUGUGCAAGAUGGGCACAACUUGUUUGAAAUGGAAUAAUGACUUGAAAUGGAAUAAUGAAGCUAAAAUGUCAACCUCGCUUCUUGAGGUUCUCAGGCUGGAGAUGGGGUGAAGAGUUGAAAAAGUGAAUUUUGACUAGACAAGUUUGCCAUAGACACAUUGUGAGAGUUGCCUGACUGUGUCUCUGUAUGAUUGUAAGGCAAGGUAGGCUUCUUCCAAGAAAGCUGCUGCUUUAUUUAAUGAACAUCUUAGGAACUUCUGGGUAAGUAAUAUUGAUACUGAAUUGAUCUGUUACAGGCAGUCUUGCAUAACGCUUUAUCUAGAUUUUAGAUAACUUAUUAAGUUGGUUCCUCAUAAAAUAAUCUUCAAAUAAAAGGCAUGGAAAUCGUAAAUAGUAAACCUACCCCAAUUUAAUUACUUAUAUCAAGGCAAAUGUACUUUUUUUUGAAUGAGUUUUUCCUUAAUUGGGAGGAAUGUUAUCUAAAGACUAAACACUGCGACCUCAUGACAAUCAGCGCUCUUGGAAUAUUGGACUAGAAGUCACAUCCAAAUAUAAUAAGAUAUUUACAACAAGAUAUUGCUUCAGAUCAAGUUUAGAGCUUGAUCUGAAUUUAUUUGCACACCUUCUGAUUUAAGAGUAAACAUGUUAAAAUAUGCAUAUACAGUAUGUAAAAUAUAUAUUGGUAUACAGUCUUUGUACAAUGCUUAGAAAUUAAUGGUAUAUGCGUACAGGUAAGAUGACAUAUAACAACAACAUGUCUACAACUUUAAAAAGUUUAAAAAAAUUAUAUCUUUAAAACAGUUCAUGGUCACAAAAUCUAAUCAAAUGAUAAUGAACUGUAAGUAUACUUCACAUUACUAUAGAAUGUAACUGUCCCAGUGUAUCUUUCACUGCUAGAUGCCAGUCUUGCUAAAUAAAUAAUCUGAGUUUAUCCAAUUGGCCUGGGCAGUUGCAGACUCACAUAGUUGUCUUUCAAGUCUCAAACGGUAAAAGCAGAUCACUAGAAAUGCUGCAUUGUGAUUAUGAUAAAAUAUAUGAUAAUAGGCCUGGAAAAAACAGUAGAGUGGGCUUGAAUAAAACAAGAGUGAAAAUAUAUCCAUUCAAAUAGUAGGACUUAGGGUGUGAUUUGUGGUAAGACAAUCUCAAGAUUUCCUCACUCAGCUCUGUGAGAAACCUGGUUUUGAUGCAAAGGAGAAAAUCCAUUUUUUAGCACUAUUAGUCUUCUGUCUUAAACUAUCAUGACCAGUAGCACUUUGAAGUGUUCUUUUAGGGCAGAUGUCAAAAGAUAUCUUGAAAGGUAUGUGAAAGUUGACCAUGCAAAACUAAAAAUGAAUUUUGUACCAACAGCUUUCACUACUGUAGUGCCUUCAAAUAUCAAUUGCAAGAAAGUUGUCUAAGCAGAUUGAAUUCAGUCUGCUUUUUCACUUACAAUGUUUGCAGAACAAAUGAAGGUUUUUCUUUGUCCCAUCUUUGUGCAUACCACAAUAUGCAUCAUCUAUGUAAACCAAAAAGAAAAUAAGAAUUUUUUUACUGUAUUGUUACUAUUUGAAGUUUAUUGUAUUUUCUGUUUAUGUUUUUCCUUUGCAAUUCUAACAAUUCCCAGAAUUAAUGUAAAUACACCUAAGCUGAAGUUGUUUCUAUGGUUGUUUAGAUUUAACAUAAAAUACAUAAACAGGACUUGAAUCAAGGGAUUAGAACUCACAUGUUUCUCCUAAAUUAACACUCCAACAGCUUGCUUAGCUAUGUUUUCUUAUGGUUUUCUCUUCUGAAAGCUUUAGUGGAAAGGAUAGAAAGUGACACUCCAACACUUAAGUCAUUCUGUAGGGCAUCUCUUUGAAAAAAAGGAAAUGUAGGAUUAGUCACCCAUAGGCAAUGAAGGAAAAGGAUUUUAUUGAUUGCAUUUCACAGGAAAGACAAUUGUAUAAAAGUGAGACACCACUUUCAGUUGUCUCUAAGAAGAGUGUAGCAGGUGCACAGCACUUUGUGAGGAUCACAGUUUUCUGAGACACAUAGCAAUACUGUGAGGAUUAGCCAUUGAGUAACUCUCAGCCACUUGGGAGAAGGAAUGUCUGAUUUGUGGCACUCGCUUUCAUUUUGGUGGAAGCCAGCUUCUAUCCUCACCAAAUAUGAAGGAGUUCUGGACACCAAGCAGAUAUGAUGAAGUACUUCAAGAACUUUGAAGGAAAAAUACGAGGAAUCCUCCAGAGGUCAGACCAAAUAACCGUUUUCAUUUAUAGGCAACUGCAAGUGAAGAUCCCUUCUUUGCAUAAGAUCUUGCUUAUUUUGGAUCUGGUCUUAAAUUCAAAACAGGACAUACCCUCUCCAUAAUACUAGAUUUCUGUACCUAAAAAUAAGGUGCACCACAGCUCAUAAGAUGAGUAGAAAGACACUUAAAGUAGUCAUUGGGUAACUGAAAAGGUGAAGUUGUGUUUCAAAUAUUGCCUUCCUCUGGGAUCACAUAUCUUAGACUGGCCUAGUCUGGAGGUAACAUCCUCCCCUUGAGUUCUCAGAGCUAAAUUGAUUCCUAGAGUUAGGUGCUAAAGUCCUGAA